CUGCGGGGGUCCCCGGCCUCCGCCGCGCGGCCCGGGUCCCCAGGUCUGAGCUGCGUCCCCACGGGGACAGCUUGCCGAGGGAGAGGAGGCCGGACCCCGCGCCGGCAUCGCGUGACACUCACCUAUGGCGGUCCGCGCCGCCGAGACGAUGACCACGGGGUCCGAGGUUGCGUUCAUCCUGCCGCCACCGCGUCCCGCUCCGCUCUCAGCUCGGCGCAGCCAGCCACUGAGGAGUACUAGGACUAGAGACGACAUGCUCAUCUGAGCAUUCCCUGAAACUUCUGUGAGGAUUUGGCAAACUGUCCAUCCUCCAAUGCUAGACUUUUUUUCUGCUAGAGGCAUGAACAUGAAAGCCAAGCACUCUACCACUGAGCUCCACUCAGAUCACUUGCAAGCAAAUGAAGCAUCCAGUUGUAAGAAAUGAGGAAUACAGACUCCAUGUGUAAAUCCUGUUAUUCACCACAGCCAAUUCAAAAGAAAUGUGAAAACUGGUUUGUUUUUGAAGCCAGAACAAAGCUAAGCUAACAAGAGAACACCAAAAGCCCUUACCAUCCUGGCUGCUUUUGAGCUCCUCACUGUACUUCUUCUGCAAAGCCAGCUCUGCUUCAAGCUGUGCAAUGCGGCCCUGUGACAGCUGCCUUCCAAGCUCUUGGUUCUCCUGGAUAAGCAUUCGACACUUCGCCAUUAACUUCUUGCCUGUUUGGCUGCAAAGGAAAGAGCCAACCAUCACAAAAUGAAGAUAUCCUUGCUCACAAUGAUUACAACAACAUGUGACGUGCAGUCACCGUCGUCUUUUCUGGAGCAUAGCCAUCUUUUGUAUUUCAGUAUUUUACCAGUACAGCAGCAAGAAUGAACCAAAACAAAGUAGCCGAAGUUUCUAUUUUAUCAGUGAGCUAUUUUCAUGCCAAGCUAACAUUUGUACUUCUAGAAGCAGGCCAUGUCACACACACACCUUGGCUGCACCAAUAUUAAUGUAACAUGAAGGUACUAAGCUUUCUGAAACAGCAAGUUCUUAAAAAGGGACAUGUAAUACAAACCACAAGUGUAUGCUUAUUUAAAAUGCUGUAAACAGAUGUAAAUAAAAUUUUUCUUGCUGAGAAAUAUA